rnacentral:rRNA from 1 species
CCUACGGGUGGCAGCAGUGAGGAAUAUUGGUCAAUGGACGAGAGUCUGAACCAGCCAAGUAGCGUGAAGGAUGACUGCCCUAUGGGUUGUAAACUUCUUUUAUAUGGGAAUAAAACGUUUCACGUGUGGGAUUUUGUAUGUACCAUAUGAAUAAGGAUCGGCUAACUCCGUGCCAGCAGCCGCGGUAAUACGGAGGAUCCGAGCGUUAUCCGGAUUUAUUGGGUUUAAAGGGAGCGUAGGUGGAUUGUUAAGUCAGUUGUGAAAGUUUGCGGCUCAACCGUAAAAUUGCAGUUGAAACUGGCAGUCUUGAGUACAGUAGAGGUGGGCGGAAUUCGUGGUGUAGCGGUGAAAUGCUUAGAUAUCACGAAGAACUCCGAUUGCGAAGGCAGUUCACUGGACUGCAACUGACACUGAGGCUCGAAAGUGUGGGUAUCAAACAGGAUUAGAUACCCCAGUAGUC